rnacentral:rRNA from 1 species
GAGUAAUGUCUGGGAAACUGCCUGAUGGAGGGGGAUAACUACUGGAAACGGUGGCUAAUACCGCAUAACGUCGCAAGACCAAAGAGGGGGACCUUCGGGCCUCUUGCCAUCAGAUGUGCCCAGAUGGGAUUAGCUUGUUGGUGAGGUAACGGCUCACCAAGGCGACGAUCCCUAGCUGGUCUGAGAGGAUGACCAGCCACACUGGAACUGAGACACGGUCCAGACUCCUACGGGAGGCAGCAGUGGGGAAUAUUGCACAAUGGGCGCAAGCCUGAUGCAGCCAUGCCGCGUGUAUGAAGAAGGCCUUCGGGUUGUAAAGUACUUUCAGCGGGGAGGAAGGUGUUGUGGUUAAUAACCGCAGCAAUUGACGUUACCCGCAGAAGAAGCACCGGCUAACUCCGUGCCAGCAGCCGCGGUAAUACGGAGGGUGCAAGCGUUAAUCGGAAUUACUGGGCGUAAAGCGCACGCAGGCGGUCUGUCAAGUCGGAUGUGAAAUCCCCGGGCUCAACCUGGGAACUGCAUUCGAAACUGGCAGGCUUGAGUCUUGUAGAGGGGGGUAGAAUUCCAGGUGUAGCGGUGAAAUGCGUAGAGAUCUGGAGGAAUACCGGUGGCGAAGGCGGCCCCCUGGACAAAGACUGACGCUCAGGUGCGAAAGCGUGGGGAGCAAACAGGAUUAGAUACCCUGGUAGUCCACGCCGUAAACGAUGUCUACUUGGAGGUUGUGCCCUUGAGGCGUGGCUUCCGGAGCUAACGCGUUAAGUAGACCGCCUGGGGAGUACGGCCGCAAGGUUAAAACUCAAAUGAAUUGACGGGGGCCCGCACAAGCGGUGGAGCAUGUGGUUUAAUUCGAUGCAACGCGAAGAACCUUACCUGGUCUUGACAUCCACAGAAGAAUCCAGAGAUGGAUUUGUGCCUUCGGGAACUGUGAGACAGGUGCUGCAUGGCUGUCGUCAGCUCGUGUUGUGAAAUGUUGGGUUAAGUCCCGCAACGAGCGCAACCCUUAUCCUUUGUUGCCA